CAGAGUUUUUGCCCGCAAGGGUAGAUCUCCCACCCUAUGUUAUUCCUUCUCUGUUGCUUUGGCGGGCCGCCCGGCCUCGGUCAGGCCACCGGCUCCGGCUGGUGAGCGCCCGCCAGAGGACCCCAAACCCUAAAUGUCAGUGUCGUCUGAGUACUAUACAAUAGUUA
rnacentral:misc_RNA from 1 species